UGUGUACUCGCUCCGUUCCAAAAUACUUGACUUCCAUUUGUCCAAAAAUGGAUGUACCUAUAUACUAAGACAUGUCUAGAUACAUAUAUAUUUUGACAAAUAGAAGGCAUGUAUUGUGCAACGGAGGGAGUAGAAU
rnacentral:pre_miRNA from 1 species